rnacentral:rRNA from 1 species
CGGCGUAGCGCAGCUACACAUGCAAGUCGAGCGGAUGAAGGGAGCUUGCUCCUGGAUUCAGCGGCGGACGGGUGAGUAAUGCCUAGGAAUCUGCCUGGUAGUGGGGGAUAACGUCCGGAAACGGGCGCUAAUACCGCAUACGUCCUGAGGGAGAAAGUGGGGGAUCUUCGGACCUCACGCUAUCAGAUGAGCCUAGGUCGGAUUAGCUAGUUGGUGGGGUAAAGGCCUACCAAGGCGACGAUCCGUAACUGGUCUGAGAGGAUGAUCAGUCACACUGGAACUGAGACACGGUCCAGACUCCUACGGGAGGCAGCAGUGGGGAAUAUUGGACAAUGGGCGAAAGCCUGAUCCAGCCAUGCCGCGUGUGUGAAGAAGGUCUUCGGAUUGUAAAGCACUUUAAGUUGGGAGGAAGGGCAGUAAGUUAAUACCUUGCUGUUUUGACGUUACCAACAGAAUAAGCACCGGCUAACUUCGUGCCAGCAGCCGCGGUAAUACGAAGGGUGCAAGCGUUAAUCGGAAUUACUGGGCGUAAAGCGCGCGUAGGUGGUUCAGCAAGUUGGAUGUGAAAUCCCCGGGCUCAACCUGGGAACUGCAUCCAAAACUACUGAGCUAGAGUACGGUAGAGGGUGGUGGAAUUUCCUGUGUAGCGGUGAAAUGCGUAGAUAUAGGAAGGAACACCAGUGGCGAAGGCGACCACCUGGACUGAUACUGACACUGAGGUGCGAAAGCGUGGGGAGCAAACAGGAUUAGAUACCCUGGUAGUCCACGCCGUAAACGAUGUCGACUAGCCGUUGGGAUCCUUGAGAUCUUAGUGGCGCAGCUAACGCGAUAAGUCGACCGCCUGGGGAGUACGGCCGCAAGGUUAAAACUCAAAUGAAUUGACGGGGGCCCGCACAAGCGGUGGAGCAUGUGGUUUAAUUCCAAAGCAACGCGAGAACCUUACCUGGCCUUGACAUGCUGAGAACUUUCCAGAGAUGGAU